rnacentral:rRNA from 1 species
GGAAGGGCGGUAUUUAUUAGAUAACAAGCCAAUAUUCCUUUGGUCUAUUGUGGUGACUCAUAAUAACUGAUCGAAUCGCAAGGCCUAUGGCCGCGAUAAGUCAUUCAAGUUUCUGCCCCAUCAGCUUUCGAUGGUAGUGUAUUGGACUACCAUGGCGUUUACGGGUAACGGAGGAUUAGGGUUCGAUUCCGGAGAGGGAGCCUGAGAAACGGCUACCACAUCUAAGGAUGGCAGCAGGCGCGUAAAUUACCCAAUCCUGAUUCAGGGAGGUAGUG